GACGAACGCUGGCGGCGUGCCUAAUACAUGCAAGUCGAGCGGACCAAUAGAAGCUUGCUUCUGUUGGUUAGCGGCGGACGGGUGAGUAACACGUGGGCAACCUGCCUGUAAGACUGGGAUAACUUCGGGAAACCGGAGCUAAUACCGGAUAAUUCACUCCCUCGCCUGAGGGGGUGUUGAAAGUCGGUUCACGCUGACACUUACAGAUGGGCCCGCGGCGCAUUAGCUAGUUGGUGAGGUAAUGGCUCACCAAGGCGACGAUGCGUAGCCGACAUGAGAGGGUGAUCGGCCACACUGGGACUGAGACACGGCCCAGACUCCUACGGGAGGCAGCAGUAGGGAAUCUUCCACAAUGGACGAAAGUCUGAUGGAGCAACGCCGCGUGAGCGAUGAAGGCCUUCGGGUCGUAAAGCUCUGUUGUUAGGGAAGAACAAGUAUCGGAGUAACUGCCGGUACCUUGACGGUACCUAACCAGAAAGCCACGGCUAACUACGUGCCAGCCGCCGCGGUAACAC
rnacentral:rRNA from 1 species